rnacentral:rRNA from 1 species
UGGGGAAUAUUGGACAAUGGGGGCAACCCUGAUCCAGCAAUGCCGCGUGUGUGAAGAAGGUCUUCGGAUUGUAAAGCACUUUCGACGGGGACGAUGAUGACGGUACCCGUAGAAGAAGCCCCGGCUAACUUCGUGCCAGCAGCCGCGGUAAUACGAAGGGGGCUAGCGUUGCUCGGAAUGACUGGGCGUAAAGGGCGUGUAGGCGGUUUACACAGUCAGAUGUGAAAUCCCCGGGCUUAACCUGGGAGCUGCAUUUGAUACGUGUAGACUAGAGUGUGAGAGAGGGUUGUGGAAUUCCCAGUGUAGAGGUGAAAUUCGUAGAUAUUGGGAAGAACACCGGUGGCGAAGGCGGCAACCUGGCUCAUGACUGACGCUGAGGCGCGAAAGCGUGGGGAGCAAACAGGAUUAGGAUACCCUGGUAGUCCACGCUGUAAACGAUGUGUGCUAGAUGUUGGGUAACUU